GAUGAACGCUGGCGGCGUGCCUAAUACAUGCAAGUCGAGCGAACAGACGAGGAGCUUGCUCCUCUGACGUUAGCGGCGGACGGGUGAGUAACACGUGGAUAACCUACCUAUAAGACUGGGAUAACUUCGGGAAACCGGAGCUAAUACCGGAUAAUAUAUUGAACCGCAUGGUUCAAUAGUGAAAGACGGUUUUGUUGUCACUUAUAGAUGGAUCCGCGCCGCAUUAGCUAGUUGGUAAGGUAACGGCUUACCAAGGCAACGAUGCGUAGCCGACCUGAGAGGGUGAUCGGCCACACUGGAACUGAGACACGGUCCAGACUCCUACGGGAGGCAGCAGUAGGGAAUCUUCCGCAAUGGGCGAAAGCCUGACGGAGCAACGCCGCGUGAAUGAUGAAGGUCUUCGGAUCGUAAAACUCUGUUAUUAGGGAAGAACAAAUGUGUAAGUAACUAUGCACGUCUUGACGGUACCUAAUCAGAAAGCCACGGCUAACUACGUG
rnacentral:rRNA from 1 species